CCUCAAAUCAGGUAGGACUACCCGCUGAACUUAAGCAUAUCAAUAAGCGGAGGAAAAGAAACUAACAAGGAUUCCCCUAGUAACGGCGAGUGAAGCGGGAUGAGCUCAAAUUUAAAAUCUUGCAGCCUCAGGUUGUACGAGUUGUAGUCUAGAGAAUCGUUUUCCGCGUUGGCCUGUGUACAAGUCCCUUGGAACAGGGCGUCAUAGAGGGUGAGAAUCCCGUCCUUGACACAGACUACCAAUGCUUUGUGAUGCGAUCUCGAAGAGUCGAGUUGUUUGGGAAUGCAGCUCAAAAUGGGUGGUAAAUUCCAUCUAAAGCUAAAUAUUGGCGAGAGACCGAUAGCGAACAAGUACCGUGAGGGAAAGAUGAAAAGCACUUUGGAAAGAGAGUUAAACAGUACGUGAAAUUGUUAAAAGGGAAACGAUUGAAGUCAGUCAUGCUCUCCGAGACUCAGCCGAUUCUGUCGGUGUACUUCUCGGUUGGCAGGCCAGCAUCAGUUUUGAUCUGUGGAAAAGGUUGGAGAGAAUGUGGCAUCUUCGGAUGUGUUAUAGCUCUUCUUCGAAUACAUAGAGCGGGACUGAGGAACGCAGCGUGCCUUUUAUUAGGUUGGCCUUCGGGUACAUACACGCUU
rnacentral:rRNA from 1 species